GCGAAAGCCUGAUGCAGCGACGCCGCGUGAGGGAUGACGGCCUUCGGGUUGUAAACCUCUUUCAGCAGGGAAGAAGCGAAAGUGACGGUACCUGCAGAAGAAGCGCCGGCUAACUACGUGCCAGCAGCCGCGGUAAUACGUAGGGCGCAAGCGUUGUCCGGAAUUAUUGGGCGUAAAGAGCUCGUAGGCGGUCUGUCGCGUCGGAUGUGAAAGCCCGGGGCUUAACCCCGGGUCUGCAUUCGAUACGGGCAGACUAGAGUGUGGUAGGGGAGAUCGGAAUUCCUGGUGUAGCGGUGAAAUGCGCAGAUAUCAGGAGGAACACCGGUGG
rnacentral:rRNA from 1 species